rnacentral:rRNA from 1 species
UACGUAGGUGGCAAGCGUUGUCCGGAUUUACUGGGCGUAAAGAGCGCGCAGGCGGUCGUUUAAGUCGAAUGUGAAAGCCCCGGCUCAACUGGGAGGGUCAUUCGAUACUGAUCGACUUGAAGGCAGGAGAGGGAAGUGGAAUUCCGGGUGUAGUGGUGAAAUGCGUAGAUAUCCGGAGGAACACCAGUGGCGAAGGCGACUUCCUGGCCUGUUCUUGACGCUGAGGCGCGAAAGCUGGGGAGCAACGGGAUUAAGAUGACCCCUGUAGUCCCGAGGAACCAA